AUAACUGGGCAGAGGUUCUUCUAAGGCAGGCAAACUUCAGUGUCACCCAUUUCUCGGUUUUCUGCAGCUUGCCUGCUUUGGAAGGGUGGUUUGACUUGGCUUUG
rnacentral:miRNA from 1 species